rnacentral:rRNA from 1 species
GACGAAGGUGGCGACCGUUGUUCGGAAUCACUGGGCAUAAAGAGCUCGUAGGCGGUGAGGAAAGUCGGGUGUGAAAUCCCUCGGCCCAACCGAGGAACUGCGCUCGAAACUGCCUUGCUUGAGGACGGAAGGGGAUCACGGAAUUCCUGGUGGAGCGGUGAAAUGCGUUGAUAUCAGGAGGAACACCGGCGGCGAAGGCGGUGGUCUGGUCCGUUUCUGACGCUGAGGAGCGAAAGCUAGGGGAGCAAACGGG